rnacentral:rRNA from 1 species
CCUACGGGUGGCAGCAGUGAGGAAUAUUGGUCAAUGGACGAGAGUCUGAACCAGCCAAGUAGCGUGAAGGAUGACUGCCCUAUGGGUUGUAAACUUCUUUUAUAUGGGAAUAAAAUGUUCCACGUGUGGGAUUUUGUAUGUACCAUAUGAAUAAGGAUCGGCUAACUCCGUGCCAGCAGCCGCGGUGAUACGGAGGAUCCGAGCGUUAUCCGGAUUUAUUGGGUUUAAGGGGAGCGUAGGUGGAUUGUUAAGUCAGUUGUGAAAGUUUGCGGCUCAACCGUAAAAUUGCAGUUGAAACUGGCAGUCUUGAGUACAGUAGAGGUGGGCGGAAUUCGUGGUGUAGCGGUGAAAUGCUUAGAUAUCACGAAGAACUCCGAUUGCGAAGGCAGUUCACUGGACUGCAACUGACACUGAGGCUCGAAAGUGUGGGUAUCAAACAGGAUUAGAUACCCCUGUAGUC